rnacentral:rRNA from 1 species
CCCGCACAAGCGGCGGAGCAUGCGGAUUAAUCGUUGCUACACGAAGAACCUUACUGGGUUUGACAUAGCAGUGGUAGGGAAGAGAAAUCGGACCGACCUUCGGGAGCUGUUACAGGUGUUGCAUGGCUGUCGUCAGCUCGUGUCGUGAGAUGUUCGGUUAAGUCCGCUAACGAGCGCAACCCGCGUUGUGUGUUAUAUGUGUCACACAAUACCGCCGGUAUUAAGCCGGAGGAAGGUGCGGAUGACGUCAAGUCAGCAUGACCUUUAUAUCCAGGGCUACACACACGCUACAAUGGACAGUACAACAGGUUGCCAAGCCGCAAGGCGGAGCCAAUCCUCUAAAGCUGUCCUCAGUUCAGAUUGCAGGCUGCAACUCGCCUGCAUGAAGUUGGAGUUGCUAGUAACCGCAGGUCAGCUAUACUGCGGUGAAUACGUUCCCGGGGAUU